AUACGUAGGGGGCGAGCGUUGUCCGGAAUGAUUGGGCGUAAAGGGCGCGUAGGCGGCCCGGUAAGUCUGGAGUGAAAGUCCUGUUUUUAAGAUGGGAAUUGCUUUGGAUACUGUCGGGCUUGAGUGCAGGAGAGGUAAGUGGAAUUCCCAGUGUAGCGGUGAAAUGCGUAGAGAUUGGGAGGAACACCAGUGGCGAAGGCAACUUACUGGACUGUAACUGACGCUGAGGCGCGAAAGUGUGGGGAGCAAACAGGAUUAGAUACCCUGGUAGUCCACACUGUAAACGAUGAAUGCUAGGUGUAGGGGGUAUCGACCCCUUCUGUGCCGCAGUCAACACAAUAAGCAUUCCGCCUGGGGAGUACGGCCGCAAGGUUGAAACUCAAAGGAAUUGACGGGG
rnacentral:rRNA from 1 species